rnacentral:rRNA from 1 species
AUUGAACGCUGGCGGCAGGCUUAACACAUGCAAGUCGAGCGGGGAAGGGUAGCUUGCUACCUAACCUAGCGGCGGACGGGUGAGUAAUGCUUAGGAAUCUGCCAUUUAGUGGGGGACAACAUUCCGAAAGGAAUGCUAAUACCGCAUACGUCCUACGGGAGAAAGCAGGGGAUCUUCGGACCUUGCGCUAAAUGAUGAGCCUAAGUCGGAUUAGCUAGUUGGUGGGGUAAAGGCCUACCAAGGCGACGAUCUGUAGCGGGUCUGAGAGGAUGAUCCGCCACACUGGGACUGGAACACGGCCCAGACUCCUACGGGAGGCAGCAGUGGGGAAUAUUGGACAAUGGGCGGAAGCCUGAUCCAGCCAUGCCGCGUGUGUGAAGAAGGCCUUAUGGUUGUAAAGCACUUUAAGCGAGGAGGAGGCUACUAGUAUUAAUACUACUGGAUAGUGGACGUUACUCGCAGAAUAAGCACCGGCUAACUCUGUGCCAGCCGCCGCAGUAAAAC